UACGAAGGGGGCUAGCGUUGCUCGGAAUCACUGGGCGUAAAGCGCACGUAGGCGGCUUUCUAAGUCAGGGGUGAAAUCCCGGAGCUCAACUCCGGAACUGCCUUUGAUACUGGGAAGCUCGAGUUCGGGAGAGGUGAGUGGAACUGCGAGUGUAGAGGUGAAAUUCGUAGAUAUUCGCAAGAACACCAGUGGCGAAGGCGGCUCACUGGCCCGAUACUGACGCUGAGGUGCGAAAGCGUGGGGAGCAAACAGG
rnacentral:rRNA from 1 species